GGGGGAGUGGCGGCGUGCCUAUACAUGCAGUCGAACGAACUCUGGUAUUGAUUGGUGCUUGCAUCAUGAUUUACAUUUGAGUGAGUGGCGAACUGGUGAGUAACACGUGGGAAACCUGCCCAGAAGCGGGGGAUAACACCUGGAAACAGAUGCUAAUACCGCAUAACAACUUGGACCGCAUGGUCCGAGCUUGAAAGAUGGCUUCGGCUAUCACUUUUGGAUGGUCCCGCGGCGUAUUAGCUAGAUGGUGGGGUAACGGCUCACCAUGGCAAUGAUACGUAGCCGACCUGAGAGGGUAAUCGGCCACAUUGGGACUGAGACACGGCCCAAACUCCUACGGGAGGCAGCAGUAGGGAAUCUUCCACAAUGGACGAAAGUCUGAUGGAGCAACGCCGCGUGAGUGAAGAAGGGUUUCGGCUCGUAAAACUCUGUUGUUAAAGAAGAACAUAUCUGAGAGUAACUGUUCAGGUAUUGACGGUAUUUAACCAGAAAGCCACGGCUAACUACGUGCCAGCAGCCGCGGUAAUACGUAGGUGGCAAGCGUUGUCCGGAUUUAUUGGGCGUAAAGCGAGCGCAGGCGGUUUUUUAAGUCUGAUGUGAAAGCCUUCGGCUCAACCGAAGAAGUGCAUCGGAAACUGGGAAACUUGAGUGCAGAAGAGGACAGUGGAACUCCAUGUGUAGCGGUGAAAUGCGUAGAUAUAUGGAAGAACACCAGUGGCGAAGGCGGCUGUCUGGUCUGUAACUGACGCUGAGGCUCGAAAGUAUGGGUAGCAAACAGGAUUAGAUACCCUGGUAGUCCAUACCGUAAACGAUGAAUGCUAAGUGUUGGAGGGUUUCCGCCCUUCAGUGCUGCAGCUAACGCAUUAAGCAUUCCGCCUGGGGAGUACGGCCGCAAGGCUGAAACUCAAAGGAAUUGACGGGGGCCCGCACAAGCGGUGGAGCAUGUGGUUUAAUUCGAAGCUACGCGAAGAACCUUACCAGGUCUUGACAUACUAUGCAAAUCUAAAAAAAUUAGACGUUCCCUUCGGGGACAUGGAUACAGGUGGGUGCUGGGUUGUCGUCCGCUCGUGUC
rnacentral:rRNA from 2 species